UGCACUUUCUAUCUCUAUGAAUUUGCUCCUCUGGGAAACUCAUAUAAGUGGAAUGGGACAGAAUUUGUCCUUUUGUGUCUGGCUUAUUUCACUUAACGUAAUGUUUUCAAGGUUCUUCCAUGUUGUAACAUGUAUUAGAAUUUAAUUUCUUUUUCAGACUGAAUAAUA